GAUACUUCACCACCAAGGUAUGCACCUUCGUCUUCCCUAAUUUAACUCACACUUAUCAAUGGUGAAUUGUAUAUUGACUUGAGCGUCGAAGGGUGAUCUAGAGAAUUCGGUCUUUGAACCCUUUUAACAAGUUAUGCAUGGUUUUGUAGAUCUGGAUUGAGAUGAAGAAAGACGACAUGUGGCUCUGGAAUUAUUGUUGAAGAUUAAUCAAACUAGUGGUGGACCCAGGAUUUUUUUCAUUGGGGUCCAUUUUUUGUGUAAGGAUUUUUCACAACCGAACAUUAAAUUUUUCGGGUCAGUCAUCGUAGUAGGCUCGGGGCUAAGAUUUCACAACCAAACACUAAAAUCUUCGGGUCGGUCAUCGUAGUCGGGAUGGGGUCAGGAAAUAAUGUAAAAACAUUUAGUGGACAUGAAACCACUACAUUAUAUGUUGGAAGUUUUAUUUGGUAAUCAAGUGUUAAAUAAAAUCGACAUUCAAUUUAUCAUUUUAAAGAAGCAAAUUAGAGGGUCCAUGGGUGGUUGUGCUGUUUUAAAACACUAGUUUAAUUUUGAUGGAAAAAAAACUAAAAAAACAAAACAUGUAAGACUUGAUUACCACCACACCAUCUUUGUUGGAAUAUAAGAGGAUUUACCACCACACCAUCUUUGAUUUUAAUACUAUGGGGUCCAAUUAAUUUAUUUUAUGGGGUCCUUAAAAAUUUUAACAUACCGGUUCUACUAUUUUCUAAAAAAAGAUUGGGGUCCGUGGACCCCGACCCGAACCAUAUGGGUCUGCCCCUGGAUCAAACCCUUGGUUUCGAUCCAUGUUUCUUCUAUAUAUGUGUGUGUUAUUAAUUUCUGUGUAAUUUGAAAACAAAAUAGGAUUUAUUUUACGAAUACUUUGAAGUUAGAAUAUUAAAGGGAUGAAUUAAGAAAGUAGGUAUUAAUAUAUAAAUAGUUUGAAGGGAACGUUGGACAACGGUAAAAUUUAACAUUUCACAAAUUCUUCAUAUUUAAAAUAAAUGGACGCUAAUUCCUAACUCAAACCAUCGGAAACCUAUGCCAUGUUCUUCAUCGUUAAUGUAGAGGUAUUUCCCGAUCAAAUUAGAUUGUGGUCGUGCAACUGUAUACUCACUUUUACGGCCACCGCCGCAAUCCAACGAUAAUGAGGAGUCAACUUCGAGCUCCUCGGCAAUCUACCUCACACCUUCGACUACACCAGCCACAUGACAUGUUAAUGCAUCGCCAAAAUUGUUGUCAGAUGCGCCGUUGUCGUGUGAUUUAGGAUCACAAUCAAGAAUAUUUUGGGUGAAAAUCUAGUAACGGUCACAUACAACUACGGAUUCAAAUCCCCACUAUCAUUAUAAAAGGCCAUGGUUCGAGUUGAACUUUAAAAUUAAACGACUGAAAUUCUAGUUACUCAUCAUUAGACAUAAUUCCAAUGUUAAUUGCCCCAAGUGUGAGCAACUGUGGGAAUCCAUUGUUUACCUGUGCCCGCAUGGUCAUUAUGUUUGCUUAUGCUGUGAACAGUGGAAAAAUAAGUGUCUCUUCUACAAAAUCUCAAUGGGAUUCAACUUGUACCAGAAUAAAUUGGUUGAAAAUAUGCUCGAAGAAAGUCGCCUUGAUUGUAUUAACAAAACCUCUGGCUGUCACGAACGACCGUUUAGAAGCGAGCUUAGGGCACACCUUAAUGAGUGUAAGUAUGAUUGCAACUCAUACGCUUGGAUGCAUAUGUAAAGGGUACGAUAAACACAUGAGUUUUUUGGUACUAAUGCCUACUACUAAGGUGUGGGUGGUACAUGUAUUAUAAUUGAGAUGACUAUAUUACACAUGGUUUUUUGGUACUCACACCUACAUCUAAGGUGUGGAUGGGAUGACUAUAUAGAUUUCUUUAUAAUGGUUGUUAUAGCGUAUCGAGGUUAAAAACACGUUCUUCAGGUUUUAUAUAAAUGAUUGAUUCUUAGAAGCUA